GGUUAAAUCAUACUAGAGAUCACAUGAAGACAUUCUAAAAUCACACUAUAAAAAUUGCUGAUAUAGGAGGAAAGGCUUACAAGAAUGUCUUUCAAACCCUUUUAUCCAACAAGUUAUUCAUCUUUUACUUUUCUUUCUUCCAACCUUAUCCUCUAUGAUACUAUUUUACUUUCUAAAUGAAUACAGUUUUGCCAUUUCGAUAGGACAAACAAUUUGACCUCUAAAAGAAACUUUGAAAUCCAAAAGUCUAUAAAGAAUUAAGGCCUGAAUUUAAGACUUAAGGCCAAUUCUUUAGACACAAUUCUCUACUUCUAAAAAUGCUAAGGUUGUAAUUUGGAAAAAACAGCAGAAUAAAGACUGCUAUGGGACCUCAAAUUUUAAAAAUUGUUUAACUGUGGUAUUCUAAAUUAUCAUACAAUCAGAUUAAGUUGGUGGAACUAAAACAGGGCGCAUUACCUCAAACAGCCAGCAUUUACAAGAACCAAAUUGAUUUUUUUUUCUUACAAAAGUCAGGCAACUUCCAAAUUAAGUCACUUUUUACCAUAUACCCUGGAGAAUAACAUGGCCCGACACACCACACGUCCCACUUAUCUAGUUCAAGCGAGUAACAUAACGUGAGAAACUGCACUGUGUAAUUCCUUUAUUUUCUGCAUAUUAGUGCUUUACCAACACUACAACCAUAAAGAACACAAUUCCAAGUACUGUACUUUUUAGUUUGGGGAGAUCACAGUCUACAGACUCAUUUACUUAUAUUAAACAAGAUUAACCUCAUUCAAAACUUACUGCAGUUUAUAAAUUCACAUAAAUACAGAAAUGGAUGCAAUUAAACAACUUCAGGAUCUUAUUUUUAAAAUUCUUAGAUAAUUUUUUCUGCAGGCUAUAAUUACCUGCUCCAGUCACCAAUGGUUAUUGUUCAAUUUAACUACAUCAAUUAUAAACCUCUUAUAUCCUUAAAGAAAAUUUUAAGUGAAAAUUACAAUUUCUUACCAAAAGGUUUAGGGUUUUCCAAAUUUCAAAUAUUUGCUUCCCCCUCCCCCCUUUCCAGUCAAACAUUUCAAAUAAACUAAAAAUAACCACAUCUCACCUGCAACAUUCAAUAAUAGCAAUCACUUGAUGUAUAAAAUUUUAACUAUGCCCCCAGUUAUUUUAAGACACAAAAAAAUGGCUGCCUACCAAUCUGUCUUCACAAGUUAGAAAUACUACAUUUAAGAUUUAACAUGAGGGUUUCAAGUUUCCUCCAGUUUAGGCAUUUAUACCUUUGUGCUUGUUUUGUUUCAGGAUGUUACUAUAGCAUUGAUAUUGGAUAACCCAUAUUUAUAUACUUUAAAAUGCAAUCAUUUGAAACACUAAAAAUUACAUUUCUGAAAUUCCCUAUUUAAUUCCUUGAGGAUCACUAAAAUUAAUCCUUAAGGCUAUAUAGGAACCAGAUGCUGCUUUACAAUUCUGCAUCAAGCAUUAACAUUUGGUUCAAAAUAUUAUCAUAGUGGUCGCAAUCCAGUUACUGGUCCUAACCAGCUAACCAAGUAAUCUUGUUAGGAUCUGGAUAUCACCAGCGAGCACACUGCUUACACAUGAAGAAAAAUAAGUUUACAUUCAUUGUCAUCUGUAGGUUCUUUCUCUUCAUCCUACGUCCCCUUUAAUAGUCAUCCCUCAAGUCUACACAUCAUUCAUUCAUCACGCUUCCUUCCUUAAAGGAGACAGUGUACUAUUGAACCAACAGGAUAUCUUUUUUAUUAUUUGCAUGAGUUAAUCCUACAAACAAAAUUAAAUACCUCUUUUAUAAAACAUCUUUUCCAGUGUUCUAAUUGAUGGAGAUGCGGAUCACUCAUCUAUAAAAAAUGACUUACAGCUUCAGCUUAAUCAGUUGCUAUAAUGUGAAAACAGGAAUGUGUAUUUUUUUCAACUAGGUAAAAGGUGCAUAUAAUUUGAAUUGUUAAAUGUUUUAUUAAUGAACAAAGUAAACCUUUUAGUAAUUUUUAAAUUACUGGUCUUAGGUGUUUGAAACAAGGUAAAAGUAUACAUUCCAGUUUUGCCCAAAAGUCACUUAAAAUAUCUACAAAUUAUUUAAUCUGUGUGUGGUAACACCAUUAUUGCUCCAAUUUCUGGAAAGAGUCUAUUUUCAAAGUUUAAAAAAGAGGAAAAACAGCAAAGUGGCUAACUUUGCAGUGGAAAGAAAAAGUGUCCUUCAUGGGUUACACUUUCAUAUUUUUAUGCAGCAUUAAGUUAUCUACGUUAUGGGGAACUUGGGUUUUAUUCCUACUCAUGCAUGAUGUGUUUCAGAACUUACUUGCUGACAUUUCAGAGAACUUCUUACAUUACCUGUUUAACAUACUGAGGUGCAACUGGAACAUAUUACAAUAUUACUCAUUAUUUGCCACUGUGGGCUAAGUUUACUAUACUGGUCUUAGAUAUAAAAGGUCACAUUUGAAAUUACUAAGUUAGAACUCAUAAGGAAGGGGGGGGAAGGCCUUAAAUAUAAAAGACAAACGGCAGUUUGAUUAAGCAAUAAUUUUCAGUUUACUAGAUGAAACAGACUUGCAACAUAGUCUGCAUGAAUGCAAAAUAAG
rnacentral:lncRNA from 1 species